rnacentral:lncRNA from 1 species
CUUCAAUGUAGAUUCUAUCAAACCCGAAAUAACGGUGGUUGUUCUGAUUUUCUUUAUUAGUUAUAGACAAUGGGUGACCGGUGAGCCUGAUCAACAUUAAGAACUCGCAUCACGACAACAAUUGUAUUCUAGAAGGACUUAAUUAAUUAGAAAAAAUUCUGACAUUUAAUGCUUUCUAUUGUUCCAAUUUUACAAUCUAU